GAUGAACGCUGGCGGCGUGCUUAACACAUGCAAGUCGAACGAUGAAGCCCCGCUUGUGUGGGGAUAUAGUGGCGAACGGGUGAGUAACACGUGAGCAACCUGCCCCUUUCACUGGGAUAUCCCUGGGAAACAGUGGAUAAUACCGAAUACUUGCGCUCCUCCCCAGGGGUGGGUCGUGAAAAGUUUCGGCGGUUGGGGAUGGACUCGCGGCUUAUCAGCUUGUUGGUGGGGUAAGGGCUUACCAAGGCCUGGACGGGUAGCCGGCCUGAGAGGGUGACCGGCCACAUUGGGACUGAGACACGGCCCAGACUCCUACGGGAGGCAGCAGUGGGGAAUAUUGCACAAUGGGCGGAAGCCUGAUGCAGCGACGCCGCGUGCGGGAUGACGGCCUUCGGGUUGUAAACCGCUUUCAGCAGGGACGAAGCGAAAGUGACGGUACCUGCAGAAGAAGCACCGGCUAACUACGUG
rnacentral:rRNA from 1 species